UCAGACGAUGCGUCAUGCAUAUCAAUAAGCGGAGGAAAAGAAACUAACAAGGAUUCCCCUAGUAACGGCGAGUGAAUGCGGGAAGAGCUCAAAUUUGAAAUCUUAAAGGGUUUCCCUUUACGAAUUGUAGUUUAAAGAAGUGUUUUCUGUUGAGGUUUUGGUAAAAGUUCUUUGGAAUAGGACAUCAUAGAGGGUGAGAAUCCCGUAUUUGACCUUUACUUUCAACUUUGUGAUACACUUUCAAAGAGUCGGAUUGUUUGGGAAUGCAGUCCAAAAUGGGUGGUAAAUUUCAUCUAAAGCUAAAUAUUGGCGAGAGACCGAUAGCGAACAAGUACCGUGAGGGAAAGAUGAAAAGAACUUUGAAAAGAGAGUUAAACAGUACGUGAAAUUGUCAAAAGGGAAGCGUUUGACACCAGUGUUGUUUUUCUGAAAAUCAAUUAAAGAACUGUUUAUGCUAAGCUGUUUAGACUUUAUCAGCUAUCUGUUUAGUUUUGAGCUUUUCUUUAAUGCACUUUUCAGUUAACAAGUCAACAUCAAUUUCUUUUGCUGUAAAAAAGCUUGAGGAAGGUGGCUUGAGAUUCGUCUUAAGUGUUUAUAGCCUCUUGCCUAUGCAGUCGGAGAGAUUGAGGUCUGCAGCGUAGAUCCUUCGGGGCUAAAUGCAUUUGUGCUAAGUUAUAGCAUUUUAUAGACAACUUGUUGACUAUGAUUUGUCUUGUAGCUUACUCGCUUAUGUUAUUUUACCUACGCUUAGGAUGUUGAAUCUGUGCGAGACUAC
rnacentral:rRNA from 1 species